rnacentral:lncRNA from 1 species
ACCGAGCUCCUGGAUAAGUGGGCUGGCAGAUAAUAACAGCAUGCGGAUGAGUAAUAUGCACAUAGGAGUGCCAGGAACCUGCUAGACAUCGCCUGUGCUUUGCCCUGUAUUUGGAAGCCCAUUGGGAAAUUUGAAAAGGUCUGAGAAGAAUCAUCCCGUCUGUUAAGUGAUAAUUUGAGAAGAAAGAAACAUCGUCCUUGAAGUGCAGAGAGUUGCUUCUCUCUUGACACCUUAGAGGCAAGUCCAGGGAGCAGAAUUAAGUGACAGUAAAAGGAAAAGAUCACAUGUAUCACAGGAAUGAGAAAUCCUUAUGGCUAAGUCAGCUUUCCACAGUUAGGCUACACUUUGAUGUUGGCAAAAGUUUCCCUAGUGGGAGAGACAUAGGGAAAAGGGCAGAGGAAUAAAGAGACAGCUUCACUUACCCAGUCUAAGUAAAGAGGUGAACAGUUCAUCCAUCUAAUAUUUAAUAUGGGCUUCUCUUGUGAAGAGCUGGAAAUGCAUUUAUUAAAGUCUGCAUAAGCAGUUGAGUUAUAACCUCCAAAAUAAACUGGAAGAAAUAAAGGAAAAGAAACUGACUUACUGAAAAGUUUAUAAGCCCUCACAGAGAGCCAAGCUGCAAACAAGAAUCCAUGCAGAGCUGAAGGGAUGUCUCCGGGGGAUUAGUUGCAGAAUUGUUUUCUCUAGUGGAUGCUGUAGUGUAUGGACCGAUUCCUCCAUUGAUGGCCAAACUACUCAUUCCCCCACCUGCUGAGAAUCAGAGUGUGGACGGCUGAUGACUCAUGACUGAGUUCCUUACCAGGAAUUAACCUUGACUGGGCCCAAGUGUAUGCUCCCUGUCUGGGUUCAAAUUAAAAUCCAAAACGUAGUCUAUGUGGGAGUACAGAUACCCAGUCAUCAUGUCUCAGUUUGGGGCAGCUCUGAUGGGUCCUCCCAGUUCUAGAACCAGCUGUAGUCUUUAUUGUAAUGGCAUCAUAGUUCAGCUUGCCCUUGCCUAAUUCUGCUGCCUUCCUUUCUUCACUGGUGUUCUUUCCCAAACAACUCGGGAAUAAAUUCCCUGCAUGCAAAUCUUUG